AAAGAUAACGCAGGUGUCCUAAGA
rnacentral:snRNA from 1 species